GAUUUCAAUUGAAAAAGUCAUCAACAACAAAGUGCUAUAACUCAUCAAGAUCUAUAACUUUUACUUUGGUCAUUUCUUCAUCUCACAAAGUGGUUUGUAAGAUUAAUCACAAAAUGUACAUAUCUCCUAUAUAGUUUUAUAAACUAUAAGAGAGAUGUAAAUUUUGUGAAAAUAUUACUACCACUUUGUCGGAUGAAGAAAUGGCCAAAAUAGAAGUUAUAGUUCUUAAUGAGUUAUAAAACUUUGUUGUUGAUGACUUUUCAGCUGAAAUC
rnacentral:pre_miRNA from 1 species